CAUUAAGUGACUGAACG
rnacentral:tRNA from 1 species